rnacentral:rRNA from 1 species
UGGCUCAGAGUGAACGCUGGCGGCGUGCCUAAUACAUGCAAGUCGAACGAUGAAGCUUUUAGCUUGCUAGAAGUGGAUUAGUGGCGCACGGGUGAGUAAGGUAUAGUUAAUCUGCCCUACACAAGAGGACAACAGUUGGAAACGACUGCUAAUACUCUAUACUCCUGCUUAACACAAGUUGAGUAGGGAAAGUUUUUCGGUGUAGGAUGAGACUAUAUAGUAUCAGCUAGUUGGUAAGGUAAUGGCUUACCAAGGCUAUGACGCUUAACUGGUCUGAGAGGAUGAUCAGUCACACUGGAACUGAGACACGGUCCAGACUCCUACGGGAGGCAGCAGUAGGGAAUAUUGCGCAAUGGGGGAAACCCUGACGCAGCAACGCCGCGUGGAGGAUGACACUUUUCGGAGCGUAAACUCCUUUUCUUAGGGAAGAAUUCUGACGGUACCUAAGGAAUAAGCACCGGCUAACUCCGUGCCAGCAGCCGCGGUAAUACGGAGGGUGCAAGCGUUACUCGGAAUCACUGGGCGUAAAGGGCGCGUAGGCGGAUUAUCAAGUCUCUUGUGAAAUCUAAUGGCUUAACCAUUAAACUGCUUGGGAAACUGA